rnacentral:lncRNA from 1 species
CCCUAGCACACGUCUGCCAAAUCAAAUGGUUGGCUUGCUGUGAAACUCAACCUUAAGACUUUAAGUGGGAAGUGGUCCAGCAAUAGAGCAGGUCAAAAAUCCCACUUGGCUUAGAUUCCUCUUUCUCGGUUCAAGAUUUCUGACAGUAAAAACACCAUUUUUAGUGGUGACUGUGUGAACUUUUAGCACACGGCCUCUUCGGAGAGCACUGCAUAUUCUGCUCACAUUGAAUUGAGCUAAUCUCAACUUGAAACAGAUUUUUGUAAAAGAAGGCUUGUAGGAGCCUUUUUUGAUGCAUUAAGGAUGCCAGCAAGAGGUUUUUAUUCAUCUUUUUUUUUUUUUUUUUUCGUUUAAACUGUGCCAACCCUGGUCUUUGCAGGUGGUGCUUCAAGAGUUGAUGGGAGCUUUAUGAGCAAGACAUAAAGUGCUGUCUCUUAACUCGUGGAUAGUAGUCUGCGAGUGCUGAAAGCUCAGAGUUUGCAAUAGCAGUACUGACAUGCUGUAUGCAGAAGCUGGCCUUUUGACUCCAUGAGGAUAUUGAAGAUGUUCUGCAAUCCCAACUCUUGUUGGUAUUAGCUUACUGAAUUUAUGUCAGAUAGCCUGGCUGGAUCCCAGCUUGCAUCUAUUCUUCCACUCUUGGUCCUGGAGGGAUCCCAAAGCAUGUGAUGAUGGUUUUGCAGCUCCUGGGAGAAACGGAGCUCCCUGCGGAGAGGCUGCCUAGACUGGCAUCAAUGGCUAUCAGAAUCCUUCCAAAGCCAAGAGACUUCUUCUGGACUUCAGAGGCUCGGCGCUGUUUUGUUCUUGUUUAUGGCUCUGGUGCCAAAGUAAAUCGAGGGGCUGAUAAACACUGCGCACCCUGCCAUGCUCUGUCAAUGGACGUCUUCCUUGGAAUUAGGUGGCUAAACAACAUAAAAGUAUUUUCAUUCUGCUUUAUGCUCUCAUCUGUCUCCUAAACAAUUAUUUUCAGAUUUAUGCUGGAACAUGAACUCAGUAGGACUUAUUUUGCUUUCCUGCUUUUCCAUCCCACUGAUAAGCUGCCACGCCAGCCCAUGUGCGGAGUUUCUCACCAGCACUGUGCUCAUGUGCUCGGCUUGCAGCCUUCCCUCGUGUGGAAAUCUGCUCCGUUCAGAAACGCAGAGUUAUUUAAGGGGAGCUUUCACAGUAGCCAUUUGAUGUUCAGCCUUUUCGGGUGUCUGGACCCUAAUUAGAGAAGGGAAUUACAGAGCAGGAAGUUGGCAGGACUCAAAACUGUGGGUUCACCCCAAGGCUACGAUCUUCUGGGUUGCUGCUGCAUCUGCACAGUGAUUAGCAGCUCCUGUGCCCCCUGAUUUACUAGAAUACAAUAGAAGCCUUCUAAUUGUCUGUUAAUCAGAGUUAAUUGCUCACUAGGAAGGAGCUCAGGCCUAUCUAGCUGGUAGAAAAGAGAGCUGAAAGCUCCUGGGUGAAGGCUGGAAGCCCUGAGGCAGGCCCCUGGAAGAGCUGCCCUGCUCCUCCAGCACCCGGGCCAGGCCUAACCCAGCUCACUGAGCCCCAUGUUCUUGUUUAUGGCUCUGGGGCUGUCCUUUGGCCUGUCUUGCCCCUUGUCAGCACCCCAGUGGCCACAAGUCCGCGUUUUUCUCCCUGGUACCAAUUCUGCAGGGCAGAAUAGCCGCGUGGUGCUGGGGCAGAGGCCCUGCAGCCACCACAGCACGGACUUCUCCUGCCCGUGGCCCAAGGGGACAGCAGCCCUUGCCCCGCUCUAUUAGCACCGGUAACAGGUCUCAUUCAUUCUCAUUCUCAAUUUCUCAUGAGAAAUUCCCCCAGAUUAGUUUUCCUUGCAAAAAUUUCAGGGCGGCAUCACCUUGAGGCUUCACAAGUAAUGUGGAGGGAAUGAGAGGCUGGAGGGAGACAGAGCGAGCUCGGUUAGGUGGUGAGAAGGGAGGACGGACGUGUGUCCAGCAGAUGAAUUUCACAAAGCGAUUGCAAAGAGGAGUAGAACUGGGCUGUGACUCCCUCUGGAAGAGAAAGGGAAAGCCCCCGGCUGAACCUGCGGCCUGAUAGCAAGAGCUGGCUCUGCCCUGGCUCAGGAUAAAUGCAUGGGGUCGGGGGAUUGGCGCUUGUGGGUUUGUUGUUGUAGGGUGGAAUGCGAGCAAUUUCUUGGCACUUAUUUUCCACAGGAUAUUAGCAUUAUAAAGGGAGUUGCUGAGAAGCAAUACUUAAGAUACGGCUGCUGUUGGCUCCGUUCUCCAUGGGUUUUGAGUCUGCUCUGUCCUUUUCCAGUGAGCAUAGCCAGAGGAACAUUUGAUUACUCCACACUUUUUACAUACAAAGCACCCAAAAACCUCUGAGGAAGAAGAGGCCAGAGCAGACAGGAUAAUGUCUUCAUUCAGCACAGCAAAACCUCUUCUUCCUCAUGCCCUUCCUCCCAGCCCCUGCCAGGCCCAGGCUGCAGGAGGCAAGUCCUGGUGCAACGUGCUCUGCAGGAGGUGUGCGACCUGCAGCCUGCAGGGAAGGGUCUCCUGGCAAGGACUAAACAGCAGAUUGAUGCUUUCGAUCCUUUCCUGACAUGUAUGAAGAGGUCCCCAAAGGGUCUUUGUGUUUGUUCGGGCUCUAACUUGCUUUAGGUAUUUAAGGUCUCGGCAGCCUAAUGAGCCUGGGGUAUCCAGGGAAUGCAGGGAUGGACAGAGAAUCAAUGGGGGGACGGUAAAUGAGUGGGAACAAUUUGAACGUGCCCCUCCUCUCACUUGGCUCCUCAAAGCUGUGGGGCUUUGCUGUUUGGGAGGUCUUUGUCUUUCUUACAGCAAGGAGAGUUUGGCUUCCCCACCCCACUUCACCCCUCACCACCCCCCUUUUUCAGGCUCCGUG